GAUGAACGCUGGCGGCGUGCCUAACACAUGCAAGUCGAACGAAAAGACGAUGAUCUUGUUCGUUGCUCGUUAGCGGCGGGCGUGUGUGUAACGCGUAUAUCACCUCCUUAUAUUUCGGGUAUAAUUACGGAAAUCCGGAUCAUAUCGGAUAGAAUAUUUCGAACCGUGUUGGUCGUUGGUAAAAUACGGCUUUGCGGGCUCUACUAGAUGCUCCUGCGCCGUAUUAGCUAGUUGGUGAGGUAAAGGCCUACCAAGGCGACGAUACGUAGCCGAACUGAGAGGGUGAUAGGCCACACUGGAACUGAGACACGGUCAAGACUCCUACGGGAGGCAGCAGUAGGGAAUCUUACGCAAUGGGCGAAAGCCUGACAGAGCAACGCCGCGUGAGUGAUGAAGGCCUUCGGAUCGUAAAGCCCUGUUUUUGGGGAAGAACAGCCGUGGCAGUAGACGUGGAGGUCUUGACGGUACCUAAUCAAAAAGCAACGGCUAACUACGUG
rnacentral:rRNA from 1 species